rnacentral:rRNA from 1 species
AGCGAACGCUGGCGGCAGGCCCAACACAUGCAAGUCGAACGAACUCUUCGGAGUUAGUGGCGGACGGGUGAGUAACACGUGGGAACGUGCCUUUUGGUUCGGAAUAACUCAGGGAAACUUGUGCUAAUACCGAAUGUGCCCUUCGGGGGAAAGAUUUAUCGCCAUUAGAGCGGCCCGCGUCUGAUUAGCUAGUUGGUGAGGUAACGGCUCACCAAGGCGACGAUCAGUAGCUGGUCUGAGAGGAUGACCAGCCACACUGGGACUGAGACACGGCCCAGACUCCCACGGGAGGCAGCAGUGGGGAAUCUUGCGCAAUGGGCGAAAGCCUGACGCAGCCAUGCCGCGUGAAUGAUGAAGGUCUUAGGAUUGUAAAAUUCUUUCACCGGGGACGAUAAUGACGGUACCCGGAGAAGAAGCCCCGGCUAACUUCGU